rnacentral:rRNA from 1 species
CUACACGGGUUUCUAAUCCUGUUUGCUCCCCACGCUUUCGUGCCUCAGUGACAGUGUUGGCCCAGAUAGUCGCCUUCGCCACAGAUGUUCCUUCCGAUCUCUACGCAUUUCACUGCUACACCGGAAAUUCCACUAUCCUCUACCACACUCUAGUGACCCAGUAUCCACUGCAAUUCCCAGGUUGAGCCCAGGGCUUUCACAACGGACUUAAAUCACCACCUACGCACGCUUUACGCCCAGUAAUUCCGAGUAACGCUUGCACCCUUCGUAUUACCGCGGCUGCUGGCAC